rnacentral:misc_RNA from 1 species
UUUAUUUUUGAGAUAAGAGUAUUGGUUUUAGAUUUACUUCUCUCUCCAGGUAAAGCCCUCGUUUUCUGUCGAUUGUCUGCGCCCUUCCCCUGCUUAGAGAGGAGGGGAAGGAUCUUUCCUGAACCGGUGUGGAUUCCCUCCUGCCGAAAGAUCGAGUUGCAAAUAUUUUUUUUUUAAUUUGUUUUUGUUGAUAGAUCUCGUGCAAUAUUAGUGAGGGACUGCCUAGAUUUGUCUGUAUUGGGUUUGUUUUUUCAGUGAGUGGGAUGAGUGUGUUCAGUUUUUCCUUCUUGCUAUGACUUCGAGUUUGGCUCUGCGGUAUGGAUUUCAGAUGUUGGGUUUGAGGGAAGAGGACACCCCGAGGGUUUAAGAGUCGGCCACCUCUGUUUGGCCACCUCCUUCGGCUAUAAGAGACUAAGAAGCCAUCUAGGGUCUGCCUCUUCUCCUUUUAUUCUUCCCCAAUUGCCCCUGUAAGUGGAACAGUGGUGUUCUUUGACUAGUAGUCGGUUGAGUCAAGAUUCCCCUAAAAUUUACCUUGUAGACUUGCGCAUCAUUGUUGGUUUUGCUUUUGUUGAGGCUUCUGAGGAUUCCUUCUUGCUCUACAGGUGACUAAUAGCUUCUUUAGAAACGGCGGCGAAUAUUGGUGAAUGAGUAGCAUUCUUGGUUCUUCUGCCUUGCUCACGGUGGCGCUCCCUUUGUUGUUGCGUAACCUUAGUAUUGGAUGGUUCUUGGGCUGGCUAGUGUAUGGGCUUUAACCUUGUAUCUGUUAGCCUUUGGAUAGGCCCCAUUGUAUGGUUUUAUUGCUUGGCGACUAAUUUUAACCUAAGAUUUUUGUUUUGUAACCUAUGCCCAUUGAAUGGCCAAAUUUUGAAUGCAAAAG